GGCUACCAUGCAGUCGAGGGGCAGCAUUUCAGUUUGCUUGCAAACUGGAGAUGGCGACCGGCGCACGGGUGAGUAACACGCUAUCCAACCUGCCGAUAACUCGGGGAUAGCCUUUCGAAAGAAAGAUUAAUACCCGAUGGNAUAAUCAGACCGCAUGGUCUUAUUAUUAAAGAAUUUCGGUUAUCGAUGGGGAUGCGUUCCAUUAGGCAGUUGGUGAGGUAACGGCUCACCAAACCUUCGAUGGAUAGGGGUUCUGAGAGGAAGGUCCCCCACAUUGGAACUGAGACACGGUCCAAACUCNUACGGGAGGCAGCAGUGAGGAAUAUUGGUCAAUGGGCGCAGGCCUGAACCAGCCAAGUAGCGUGAAGGAUGACUGCCCUAUGGGUUGUAAACUUCUUUUAUAUGGGAAUAAAGUUUUCCACGUGUGGAAUUUUGUAUGUACCAUAUGAAUAAGGAUCGGCUAACUCCGUGCCAGCAGCCGCGGUAAUACGGAGGAUCCGAGCGUUAUCCGGAUUUAUUGGGUUUAAAGGGAGCGUAGGUGGACAGUUAAGUCAGUUGUGAAAGUUUGCGGCUCAACCGUAAAAUUGCAGUUGAUACUGGCUGUCUUGAGUACAGUAGAGGUGGGCGGAAUUCGUGGUGUAGCGGUGAAAUGCUUAGAUAUCACGAAGAACUCCGAUUGCGAAGGCAGCUCACUGGACUGCAACUGACACUGAUGCUCGAAAGUGUGGGUAUCAAACAGGAUUAGAUACCCUGGUAGUCCACACAGUAAACGAUGAAUACUCGCUGUUUGCGAUAUACAGUAAGCGGCCAAGCGAAAGCAUUAAGUAUUCCACCUGGGGAGUACGCCGGCAACGGUGAAACUCAAAGGAAUUGACGGGGGCCCGCACAAGCGGAAGAACAUGUGGUUUAAUUCGAUGAUACGCGAGGAACCUUACCCCGGGCUUAAAUUGCAUUUGAAAAAUUUUGGAAACAGGUUAGCCGCAAGGCAAAUGUGAAGGUGCUGCAUGGUUGUCGUCAGCUCGUGCCGUGAGGUGUCGGCUUAAGUGCCAUAACGAGCGCAACCCUUAUCUUUAGUUACUAACAGGUCAUGCUGAGGACUCUAGAGAGACUGCCGUCGUAAGAUGUGAGGAAGGUGGGGAUGACGUCAAAUCAGCACGGCCCUUACGUCCGGGGCUACACACGUGUUACAAUGGGGGGUACAGAAGGCAGCUACCUGGUGACAGGAUGCUAAUCCCAAAAGCCUCUCUCAGUUCGGAUCGAAGUCUGCAACCCGACUUCGUGAAGCUGGAUUCGCUAGUAAUCGCGCAUCAGCCAUGGCGCGGUGAAUACGUUCCCGGGCCUUGUACACACCGCCCGUCAAGCCAUGAAAGCCGGGGGUACCUGAAGUAACGUAACCGCAAGGAGCUCCUAGGAA
rnacentral:rRNA from 1 species